UUUAUUGCAUUGGAUGAUACAGUAAGAAGUUUAGCUAGCUAGCGAGAGCUCUUACAACGGAAUCAACGCCGUUUCGCUCCUCUCCUCUCCUCUCCUUAAAACGGUUAUAGACAGAGAAACUGAGACAUUUUUUACAGGAGAGAGAAAGUGUUCUAGAGAGAUAUGGAGAUGGAAGAGGAAAUGGAGGUGGAGUUUAUGGUUUUUGAGGCGCGUGAAGUUGAUCUUGAUUAUGAGUUUGAUGCUGCAAUGUACUUCGAUUUCACACUCCAGGAGUCAAUCGCGGAGGCGCGUGAAGCUGAGCGGUGGUUUGAUACGGCUUUGAGUUAUCCUCCUUCUCCAUUUGUGGCGAAGUUAGUGAUAGGAGAGGACUGUCUACUGGAAAAUGUUAAUACCUCUCCAAAAUCUAAAGAUGAUGAAAAUAUGGCCUCUCUGCUCAAUGAUGAUAUGGGUCCAAAAGUUUCUGCAAUAGAGGUGGACGAUAGAGAAUGUGAACGAACAUACAGAGGGAUCUUCACCAACAUACAGAGUGGCAACCUGCAAAAAGUUUCAAAUCAACGAGUAGAAUUAGCAACAGGAUUGACCUUUUGCCAUCAGAAAUCUACUGAUAAAUCAAAACCCAAGGUGAAGUCCUCUGUCAAGCCAACAUUUCCCAGAAGUUCAACUUUGAUGAAACCUACAGCUAGUCAGUUGGCUAAGCAAAAUCAGACCCCUCAAGUUGGUGGUUCCAGAUUUCAGUCACAACUGGGUCAAAAGGAGAGAGGCUUAUGCAAUUCAUCUGCAGUUGAUAGUCAUUCUGCCAAGAGGCAGAAACUGGAAGGAGGUCACUUGCGUAAGAUUGGUGAUGGAAAACAGCAAACAGAUUUCAUCCACAAGACAUCUAAAAAGGAUGGUAGUGUUGAUAAAAUCUCUGCUCAUGCAAAACUAAGGCUCACUGUUCCAAGAGAGCCUGACCUUGAAACAGCACAUAGGGCUCAAAGGACCAGGCCCAAAGAUAGUAUAGAACAGCAACACAUGACAGCACCUGCACGGAGAUUCAAAGCACGCCCAUUGAACCGAAAAAUUCUUGAGGCUCCUUCAUUGCCUCUUCCAAAGAAGAGCACUCCAAAGUUGCCCGAGUUUCAAGAAUUUCACCUAAAGACAUUGGAGAGGGCAAUGCAGCACACCUCUUCAGUUCCAUCUUCCUUAUUUCAGUGCAAUGAUUUGGACAAGGGGCUGGACAAACCUAGUACAAUUUCUGUCGCAGAAAAUGUGAAGACAGAAUCCAGAAGACCAACAACCAUGGAUGCUCCAAAGCAGGAUGGAUGUUGUGCAACGCAUAUAUUCAAAGCUCGCCCUCUGAAUAAGAAGAUAUUCUCAAGUAAAGGAGAAAUGGGUGUUUUUCGGAAUAGCAAGCGGGAAACCACAGUGCCAAUGGAGUUUAAUUUUCAUACGGAGAAGAGGUUUCAACAUAAUCCACCCAUAGAUCUUUUCAGCAAGCUCUCCCUUACAAGCGAACUCCAACCAAAUAACAGGUCACAAUUGCAAUUUCCUCAACCGAGCAAUAUAUAUAUGAAGGUUCUCCUUGUUCCUUGGCUCGAAAGAAAAUAGAUUGAAUCCUUUGCAAACAGGGCAGAAGAUGCUGAAAGAAAGGCAACCUAUUUUCGGUGGAAGGCAGCAGAUUCAGUAUGGGACCAAUACAGGCAGCACCAAUGAAGUUGUAAACCAAUUGAGCAGGAGGAACUUGGGCAUCCGGUGAGAUUUGUGAAUUACUCGGACAAGAAUCACCAACCGUUUUGUUAUGCAGAUAAGUCAUGGAAGUCCGUAUCGCUUGAAAUGAAUUGUUUACCGGGGAAGAAACUAAUCUCACACAUUGAUGUAAAGCUAACCUCCGUCCCCUACAAUUUUGUAGGCUUGUCCUUGAUCCAAUAAAAUUAUUACAUGGCCGGUGUUGUACAGGCAUUAAGGCCUUCUUACCUUUACUUCUGUAGCAUGAACAACAAAUGAAAUGGUUAAUGGUAAAUACAGAAUACAGAAUUGAUAGUGUUCUUGGAGUUUCA